rnacentral:lncRNA from 1 species
GCAAAGUAGAAUUCAUGUUAUUGUAGAUGCCCCUUCUAGAAUUUGGACCUUAUAUUUGUCCAUAUAUGCCACAUGCAAGAGUAGUGUGCCAUGCCCGGAUAGAAAACUGAUGUUGCCUUCAGUAUACUGUCAUGCCUAUCUGAAACAACACACAUUGAAGGUCUUUCACCAUAUGCCUCCGUGAACUGCUCAAAGAACAACUUCCAAGA